GAUGAACGCUGGCGGCGUGCCUAAUACAUGCAAGUCGAGCGAACGGACGAGAAGCUUGCUUCUCUGAUGUUAGCGGCGGACGGGGGAGUAACACGUGGAUAACCUACCUAUAAGACUGGGAUAACUUCGGGAAACCGUAGCUAAUACCGGAUAAUAUUUUGAACCGCAUGGUUCAAAAGUGAAAGACGGUCUUGAGGUAAGUUAUAGAUGGAUCCGCGCUGCAUUAGCUAGUUGGUAAGGUAACGGCUUACCACGGCAACGAUGCAUAGCCGACCUGAGAGGGUGAUCGGCCACACUGGAACUGAGACACGGUCCAUACUCCUACGGGAGGCAGCAGUAGGGAAUCUUCCGCAAUGGGCGAAAGCCUGACGGAGCAACGCCGCGUGAGUGAUGAAGGUCUUCGGAUCGGAAAACUCUGUUAUUAGGGAAGAACAUAUGUGUAAGUAACUGUGCACAUCUUGACGGUACCUAAUCAGAAAGCCACGGCUAACUACGUG
rnacentral:rRNA from 1 species